rnacentral:lncRNA from 1 species
GAGCAUUGUUUUUACCAUUCUACGUGACUCAAAUCCACCCUUUUGGAACAAGCAAAAAUGUAAGAAGAUGUAAGACAAAGUGUUGAAGAAAACAAGAACUGAGUUUCUUCAAGAAUCAACUUUGACAUAACACAAACAUCAUAUCCCCUCAAUCACCACAAACAUCAAACACCCCUUCUCUCUCUCUCUCUCAAGAUCACAGAGGUUACAGAAUAACCUCAAGAAACUUAUUAGAGACUACGAUCUAACAAGAAGCCUAGGCCUCCGAUUUGGUGUAGAAACGGAGGCCAACCGCCAAGCCCAAGA